rnacentral:lncRNA from 1 species
ACUGCGAUGGAGGCAAAUAAGAGGACAAAAUAGGGAGUUCGGCACCUGGGCGCGCGAGUGAGGGGUCGGGAGGUCAGCCGGGCCUCAAUCGGCAGCCGACUGCUGGAGAGGAAGGACGGAUUGAAGGGCGGUCCAGCAUCCCCUACACCACCAUCUCCGCUGCUUCAACAGUCCUUCUUCCCGAUAUCAAAACGGAUUUUGAUGUUUUUUUGUAUUAUUUGUAAUUGUGACAUUAGUUAUUAGGGAAGUGAUUGUGGUGACGGGUCAUUUUCGCGUAAAAGAAACGAUCAGUGGCAAAUUUGCGCGCGCCCUUCACACUUAAACCCAACGUUUAAGAAUUUGCUGAAAAAGUGAUGAUAAUGCUCGAGUGAAAGCUUGGACCGUAUGUGAGUACUGACGAGUAUUAUUUUCCCCGUGUGGUGACACGACCAACGACACACGGAACUGGACUCCCAAGUCAACGCUACCGUGCUUAGCCCAUUCCAGUUUUCCAGCGAGACUUUGUUCAUAUUUUCGGUAUACAAAGUCGUACUUUAAAACGCCAAAUACGUGCAGGACCAGCAUCGCUAUCCUCAUGUUCACUCAUUUGCUCGAAACGCUUUGCGUGCUGUACAACUAAGUAAGAACUCUUAUAUAUAAAUUUAUUUGUUAUACUGUCGCUAUUUGUAUACUCUUAUCUCCUGCCCUUAUAACAACAAUAAAUGCAUUUGUUAACAUUUGGUCUAAAACUUUGCUUUCUAUCACUAUAACAAAUUUGUAUUAUUAUCUGGCUCAUCGAUAAUAUUUUCGUAAUUGAAGUGGAAUACAAAAUGUUACAUCUCUGAGGAAUGGCGAGUACACGUGGCGAAGCUGUGACAGGCGCACCAUAACUGUACUGGUGGCAUGUGUGCACUCUACACACCUGUCGUUCCCUUCCAACCCUGUCACAACGUCCCGUACGCAUACCAUCCCACACACCUGGCUACAAGCCUAUUGUGUUCACGGUACCGACGCGGCUACAAGUAUUAUGUUCAUGGUACCGACGGGGCUACAAGUAUUAUGUUCACGGUACCGACGGGGCUACAAGUAUUAUGUUCACGGUACCGACGGGGCUACAAGUAGUGUGUUCACGGUACCGACGGGGCUACAAGUAGUGUGUUCACGGUACCGACGGGGCUACAAGUAGUGUAUUCACGGUACCGACGGGGCUACAAGUAGUGUAUUCACGGUACCGACGCGGCUACAAGUAGUGUGUUCACGGUACCGACGCGGCUACAAGUAUUGUGUUCACAGUACCGACAUGGCAACAAGUACAGUACCGUGUUCAAGGUGCAGUAGUACUGGCAUACAAGUGCCCUGUUCUAGGUACUGUACUACUUGUAGUCACAAGUACAGUGUUCAAGGUCCUAUUGCAGCCAUAAUUACCACUGACAGCUGCAGAUGGUUACCGAGGCUCAAACUAUGCAACCGCGAGAAGGGGCGAGACAACCAUGUAGCAGCAAGAGGUGAGACACAACCAGAUAGUGGUGAGAGGUGAGAGGCAACUGUGAAGUGGUUUGAAGCGAGAGAACUGUGUAGGAGAGUGAUAAUUGUGUACCAGUGAGAGAUGAGACAGCUGUGUAGCGCCGAGAGGCAAUUGUGUAGCGCUGAGAGGCAAAUGUGUAGUGGCAAGAGAGAAUUGUGUAGCAGUGAGAGGUGAGAGACAACUAUGUAGUUACGAGAGUUGAGAGAGAACUGUCUCAUGGGUGAAUGGUAAUUCUUCAUUGCUUCUAAAAUUCAAGUCUACAAGUAAUAUUUCUGUAUAUAAACAAACUGAAAUAAGUGUGAUUUAUUUCAGCCCUCCUGCCAGUGAGAUCUUGCAUUAUUUUCACUUCCCCAUCCCCUUCCCUUCUGAUAUUAAUAAAUGACAAAUUGGAAUGUUGCCAUUGCAUCCAGACUUCUUAGAUCAAAUUUUGCUUGAGUGGGACAUUGCUGUACAGCAAAUUUUUACAGUACAUGCACUAUACUUGUGUAUAGUGUGUAUGUGCAUGCUGUACAUGUAUACAUAUUAUCUAUACAGUAUGUAUAUUCUAUGUAUAAUUUGUCUUGACCAGUAAUAUAAUUUUCAUGUAAAUUUUAAACAAAUUCAUUCCGACUUCCAUUUUAUACAAAAUUUUAUGCAGAUACAGGUACGAGUUUG